rnacentral:lncRNA from 1 species
ACCAGCUCUUCACCCGUCCUGCUGCUGGUGGCUGAGAUGACCCUGCCGUGCACGGACCGGUGUGGAGCUCCCACAGACAGCAUGAGAGACCAAGAACAGGGGGGAACCAAGUGGCUAUUCAAUGAGUCUAGGAUGCUGAAUUCAAUUGCCCUUUCAGGAAGGUUAUGGAGAUGUGUGAACUUGCAACAGCCUGCACCUGAAACUGGAGCCUUUAUCCACCAAAGCAAACUCGUAACCUACCCCAGAAGAAGCUGCUGAUUCACGGGGCGAGGGUGGACGCUCUUCCAUGGCUGAGACACAACUGGGUGCCCAGCCCGGGCCUGCAUGGCCAUUGCUGCUGUUGGGCUCUGACAGACGCCUCCACUGAGGCUGCCUCUGCCCCAGUGCCUGUCCUGCCCACCCUGUGCCCCCCGUACCUGACCCACAGGUGAUGCUGUGCCCAAUAGCAAGAGGCAAAGCCACCUGUGCUGCUGCAAAGAGUGCAGAGACUGUCACCCUGGUCAAGGGCCCAGCCACAGAAGAAUAAGCUGCAUUUAUUUGCUUGAAGAGCAUUUAGGGAUGUACCAUGUCUUAAAAUACAAGAAUUCUGAAUUAAACAUGAACUAUGGCUGUCCCGGUGCAGCCAAGGAGCCUGGGGACUGGCAGCAGUGGCAGGGCGGCUGCCAGCUGUUAUCUCGGGCGACAGGAGGAAGCAUGUAGUGUUCACUGUGACUCAUUUAUGGUGGUGUUUGCAGUGCAAAGCACUGUUAGUGGCAAGCUGGUGGGCUCACCUGAGCUUACAGCAACCUUUUCUGACCAGUAGGGCAAGGUCCAUUGGAAGAGAGUCUGUAAUAUUCAGCUGCCAAGUGUCUCAAAAAGAAAAAUGUAGAUUUCCAGCUAAAUAAUAAUAAAAGUGGGUUGAUUGAUAAAGCUAUCUGAACU